ncrna:unclassified sequences malK-I RNA
UCCCUCCCGCCUGUGCUACUCCACCUCUACGUACCGCUCGCGGGAAAUACAAAAGGAGGAACGUUUUCCGCCGAACCGGCGGGGGGGCAGUGUGGAACCCUGCCGUAAAGCGGCGCGCUCAGGCGGCUGCGAGGUCCUGCAUCGCGGAGGCGGCAGGACUGCGGUUCACGAUUAUGGCA